CGUUAUGUAUGUUGAGAUCGUUAUCAAGUCCGGAUUCCUUCUUAAACUUAAUGACAAAUGUUUGUUUUUAUGGCCUUUAGAUGCAUUCGGCAACUUGAUUUCAGUGUCACAGUGCUGUUUUUUUUCAGUCCAAAGAGCCCGAAGCUGAUAAGACUGGCGAUUGAUCCUGAAGCUGAUUUGACAGACGAUUGCAUUGUAGACAUAAAGGUUCAAUAUACAGUCAGCCUCUCAUAAGAUAAAGAACAAAUCCCAAGAUCCAAGGCUUGCUUCAAAGUUAAGAGACCAUUCUGUGCCACAAAGAAAUUGUUCAGGAAGAGGAGAAGUGGUGGAUAUUCAUUUUUGGUACGGUACAGUUCAAAGAGAUUUUCAAAAUGGUCAUGGAAGAUCAAAGGGAGGACAAAUGAAAAAACUGAAAGAUACAGAAGGAAAAAGAGCAAAGAAAUAUAUGGAAUAAUUAUGAAAUGGGGAGGAUGUACACAAUCUUGUCUGAAUUUGACGUGUGAAGAUUUCCCAUAUUCUUAUUGUAUGCUGGAAUAAUCAAUAACUUGAUUUUUCAUAAAUUUACAAUAGAGAAUACAUGACAAAUGUUAUUGCUGAUAUUUCAAUUUUGCUUUGGACACUUUCAUGUCAUGUGGUAUUUUUAUACAUUACCUAAUUAUGUUAUUCAUUUGUAC